ensembl:lncRNA
CAUUUAGCAGGCUUCUGUCUAUAACAUGAGCUGCUCAGUAUGUGUAGAAAAUCUUUGCUACCACAGCUUUUUUGAAAGAUAUAACGUUAGCCAAGGAGAUAUGCAAAAGUGUUGCUACUGCUCUCAUCAACAUUGCUGCUCAGAAUUUAGCAGGCGCUAUCAAGAAAGAUCAGUGGGGGAAAAAUGACUUCUUUCUACACACGGUCAAUGUGAACCUGGCCAAACAAUCUGUAGCUAGCUGCAGACCAAAUCGAAAAGACACUGCCGUGAAGCUUUCAUCCAUGUAUACGGGUGUGAAAGCUGGAAAAGCAGGGAGUGGAGGUCAUUGUUAUGGUCCAUAAAACAAAUGACAGGGUAGUGAAGUAGUCUUCAUUACAGAAGCCGAUAAUUACAUGAAGGGGCAUGGCGAUGCAAUGAGUGAAUUUGUCGACCAUUUAAAAGACAACAGCUAAAGGCAGAAGGAAAAGCUCCACCAGGAAAACAAAUAACCUGAUGAGAGAGCUUCAAGACCUCUUCAACAAGAACUUCAGUAUGUUUAAAUAUGUCUCCUGAUGUAAUGUGUUUUGAAAAACAGUAAUAAAAUAGAAUUUGAUAUAUAUUUAUGACCAUAACAAACUCUCAUAGUUUGACAUAGUCCAUGUGAACAUUAUAUGACUUUUUUUUUUAAAGUGAAAAUUACAAAUGUGUGUUUUGUUUAAUCUGGUCAUGGACCUAUGUUUAGAGAAAAUGAAACACUUUCAUAAAAUGUACUAUAAAAUAUGUCCAUAUGGCACUUGUAGUAAAUAUUGAAAGUACCAAAUAAGGACGUUAUAUCCGUUUGCAACGUCUGAUUAUAGGAAGUCAG